rnacentral:lncRNA from 1 species
GAAAAAGCUAUCAUUUUUCUCUUCCCCUUCACCAAAAUAUGCAGCAAAGAAAGGGUUUUGAAGCUGGAAAAUUUCAACAACAUAUUUCCCUUGCUUGUAAGUGAUUUUAAUGUCUUUGCUUGAUGAUUUUUGUAUUUUUGGAACCCCUAAAGCAUAAGCUUUCAUAAGAGGGGAUUAUUUUGCAAAAUGAUAAAGAGUCUAGGGUUUUACCAUGAGAGUAAAUGUGUUGUUUUCUGUGUUUUUAUGGAAGAUUAUGAGUCCUAGUUGUCUAAUAAACAACUUUUGUGAAAGAAAUUGCAUGAAAAUACCUUAAAAAGGGGUAAAUUGCUAAGUUGUAAAAUGAGUUGUAAAUGUGUAAAAUAGUUGAAAUUAUGAGUUGCUAUAGUUAUGAAAAUGGUUCAUCUAGACUCAAGGAGUAAAGAAAUGUGAUAAAAAUUAAUUUACGAGCAUUGGGGCAAAAGUGCAAAUAUGCAAAAGUUUAGGGGUCAAAAUGAAAAUUUGUAAAAAUAUGAUUUUUAGACCCAUAUGAAUAUUGUGACUGAUUGGUAGGCUAAACGUGAUGUUAUAGAUGAUGAAAAUUGAGAUUUGGACCUAGAAUGGAAAGAAAUCGAUUUAUGGACGAGUAUGUCUUUUCACCUUUGUGGUAUCGAGGUAAGUUCAUGUGUAAAUAAUGUAGCAUAAUUUUUAUUUUUAAGUUAUUGAUGUUAAAUAUAUGAUAUGCUGAUUUUUAUCAUGAAAUAUAUGCUUUGUGGUUAUUUUCGAAUAAAAUGCAAGUUAUGUGUAUUAUCUGUUAAAUAUAAAGUGCUACCGAGUAUUGGUUUCGGUAUUUUACGGAAGAUGGCAAGGAUAUGUGUUCAAGGAAAAUCCCGUUUGAACCUUAGGAAUAGAUUAGGAUACAAGUGACAUGUCACUAGGAUGGUUGAGCAUCCGAACUCGUUGAGUUGAGUCCGAGUUCACUUAUAGAUGCGAAUGUUCGAACUCGUUGAGUUGAGUCUGAGUUCGUGAGAUGUAACUAGGCAUCUGAGCUCGUUGAGUUGAGUCCGAGUUCACUUAUGGAUGCGAACGCUCGAGCUCGUUGAGUUGAGUCCGAGUUCACUUAUGGGCGGGUUACAUGGUAGCUUGGCUACAUAUGUGGCACUUACGUGCAAACUUUCCAUGUAUCCGAAUUAUAUUCCGAUGUGUUCAACGGGUAAAAUUCUACUCAAAUGGAGGAAUACUCGAGAUGAAAGGGACGUAUUGGUAAAUGUUGUGAAAUGGAUACUUUGAACAGGUAUGUACUUAACCCUCGUGUUGAAAACUCGACAUAACAACAAUAUGGUAAGAUGGUAAAUGAAAAUGUGAUAUGAAUAUCUCGGUGAUGAUUAUACAAACGAUGUUGUAUUAAUUUUGUGAACAAUGAUCAUGAAUGAGUAAUUUAGCCUUGACAGAUUUGAAUUACUGCAGUAGUGUAACUUUGAAAAUACACUAAAAAUAGUGGAAAAUGAGUUAGAGGCAGAAUAAAAUAUGGGAUUAAAGCUCAAUGAGUCUAUUUUCACAUGAAAGAAACAGGGAAGAAAAAUAAUUCCAUAUUGUGUGAUAUUUGAAUUCUUGUGAAACAGGGUCUGAAUGAAUUCGAGAUCCCCUAUUCUAACUUUAUAAAUUCACCAAAAAUUGUACAAAAAUUAUUAAGAGUUAUACCUUACAUGCAUAGAUUCCUUAUUGAGUCUAUUUUUAUGGAAAAUAAACGGCAUGGUCGUUGGAAUUUUGUACAGGGAGAAAUUCAGUUUGUAGUGCACAGGGGUCAGAGUGGUCAUACCCUGAAACAGGGGAGACUUUAACUAAUAAACUGUACUAUUUGGCUUAACCAAAAAUUCUGGAAAUUUUAUGAAAGAAAGUAAAAUAAGUCUAGUUUCAGGGAAAAUUAACGGAACUUAAUUCGGAGUUUCGUAGCUCCAGAUAUAAAUAAUUUAGUGACUGUUGCUCAGGAAGACAACUUGUAGUGAACUUGAGAAUAUGUUGUAAACAUUGAUAAAACAAGUUAAUGAGUUGCUUAUUGUUUUCAUAUGAACUUACUAAGCGAAAGCUUACCCCCCUUCUUUCCCAUGGUUUUUAGAGUUUCCAAGUUAGCUCGGGUUGGAGGCUGUCAGAGAUAUUAUCACCCUAUCAAGUUAACGUUAUCGGAGUAAGUAAACUCAAGUGAUUCGAGUCUAUGGCAUGUAUAGGGUUUUAAUGUGAGUAUGUAAUAUUAUGAUCUAGCCAAAGGCAUUGGCUUGUUAUUAAGGUAGUAUUAGUUAUGUAAAUUGGCCUAUGUCGGCUAAUAUCGUUAUGGGCCCAUAUGAUUAUUCUUAUGCAUUUAUGUUAUUAUUUCUUGUGAUGUGGCUUACAACAUGUAUGCCUAGAGAUUGAAUUGAGAUUCAUUGAUGAGCUAGUAACUAAUGCAGGAUUAAGUGAUUGGUAAAUAGUUAAUAAUGCUUCAUGAAUGGUUUGUGAUGUAAUGAUAGUUAUGUCUAGUAUGUGGUAAUGAUAUGGGCAAAUUCUAUAAUAUUUAUUGCAUAAGAAAAUAACUUGAGCAUAACAUGUUUGUAGAUGUUUAAGAGCUCAUUUAUGUCACGUUGUAUGUUAUUGGAUAAGUAUGUAUCUAUGCAUAUGGUGUGAGAGUGAUAAAAGGCUUAAUAAUUAGCCUAUUUCUGGCCACACGGCCUGAGCACAUGGGCGUAUGAAGCCUUAACGCAAGAGAUUUUUUUAAGUUUUUCAUGAGUUCUCGAUUGGGUCCCGAACCACUCCAGAUGUAUGUUUUGGGCCUCGUAAGCC